AUAGCUAAACUAAAAACACCUGAACUUACAUUUGUUGAUUCUGCCGAUUUUCUGUUUUCUUUGGAACAUUGUGUUAAAAAAGGGCAAUAUACCUGUUAUCCCAUCUUCUGUAUAAUUACUAGUUACAAUACUUCAGUUGUACUCUCUAAAAUCAACAUGUUUUUCCUGACAUGACCAAUAAACAUUUCUCAGAUGACAGAAAUGAUUCAUAAGUCAAAAAACCAUAUGCAUAAUAAAUAAAAAAAACAAACAAAUUUUCUUGGAAACCAGCAGUGUUAAAGAUCAAUUUUCUCGUCUCAUUCAGUGUUUUUUGUGUGCGUUUUAUUUUAUACAGCAUACCAGGAGGAACCAGUUUAUUCUGAAAUUAAAAAAGGGAAACAAAAGAGAAAAAAAGAGAAUGCACCAACAAAGAAGAACCCAGAAGCUGAUUUUGACCCAAUUAGCAAAGAGACUACACAAACUGCUGUAGUAACAGCAGAAGUCCAAGGAUCUGGCAGCAGGUUUCGUCUCCUGUUGGGGUGUUUGGGGAUCAUUUGUUUCCUCCUGUGUGUGGCCAUCAUCGUCAUCAUCAUUUACUGUAAGUUUGAAUAAAUUAGUAUUAUUUCAAUUUAAAACACUUUUUACAUAUAAUUAUUUUGAAAUAAAAUUAUUGAUUGUGUAUUAGUGGCUUAAACCUUAGUAACAAUUGUCCUUAUGGCUAGAAAUAUGCGAAAAAAGGGCAAACUUGUGUGGGACACGCAGGUGGUCCCCACGUAUAAGUAAGGUUGUGGACCACUUGGUGGGUCAAUUGAGUGAAAAUGGUCAUGUAUAUUCUAGGCUGCACACCCGCACAAUUGUGCUCUGCUCCCAUGCUCUUUGUGCUAAGCAUUGUUCUAUUUUUACUUUUUAGAAAUUUAGGUGAUGUAAAAUUGAAUCAAAUCUCUUAGUGAAACGUAUUAAAGAGGGGUUUGAUUUUCAAAGAAUAGUUUUGUGAAUUUAAAAUGGUUUCAACUAUAAACAAAACAUUGAAAACUAAACCAAAAAGAACUUUCUCCAAAAGAUAGUUGGUGUUUUUCUGAUUGUGAAUUAAAAGAAACAAAAAAAAAAA